GGAUCAGUUCGCUGGUCGUGCCUCUGGUAUGUACUGGUGUUACUGGUUCCUCCCUUCUGACGAACUGUCAUGUCAUUUAUUUGGUGUGGCAGGGAAUCAGGACUGUUACUUUGAAAAAAUUAGAGUGUUUAAAGCAGGCUCGCGCUUGAAUACAUUAGCAUGGAAUAAUGGAAUAGGGCUGCUGCCCCAUUUUGUUGGUUUCUGGGACCGUAGCA
rnacentral:rRNA from 1 species